GAACCCUUUGUGUUGAGAGAGAGAGAGAGAGAGAGAGAGAGAGAGAGAGAGAGAGAGAGAGAGAGAGAGAAAAGCCCAUAGAGGGGGUGGUAAUUGGCAUUAAUGAUGAGAGCUGAGCUAUAGCAGACACAUCUAGCUUGCGGAGAAAGAGGGAGGGAGGGAAAGAUAGAGGUAUAUAAUAUGACUAAUUACAGGUUAUCAAACUAUAGCAGCAAGGUAAUUACAGCGUCAGAAAAAGGUGUGUACAGUUGUAGUAAGUUAAGUGAGGAGAAUGAAUGUAUAAAAACACAGAUUUGUAUACUGCAGAAGAUGCUGGCGGGAGGAGCUAUAGGAGGACUGUCUCAUUGUAAUGGUUGAAAUGGAAUAAAUGAAAUGGAGUCAAACGUGGUUUCCAUAUGAUGGGUUUCAUACCAUUCCAUUUAUUCCAUUAGUCUUUUACAAUUAGCCUGUCCUCCUAUAGCUCCUCCCACCAGCCUCCUCUGGUAACCUGUUUAUGCCUAUAGGCCCAGGAGUAUUUCCUGGUCACAGGAUCUGACCAGGAACAAGUAGGGCCUGAAGUAUUCUGGGUAAUUCCUAGUAAUACGAUAUAACUAAGGUCCAGAGUGUUUACUGGUCAUGAAACAUGGUAAGGAAAAACUCCUGGCCAAUUAUGCUUACACAUAACUCCCUCUUUCUGCUGAAAAGGACUUUUCCUACAUGGGGCGGUACACUAGAAGACCAUAAUCACCAUCACCUGCACAGACUGGGAGGACACAACUAAUCUACAAAGGUCAUACUAACUACCAGUUGCCUCUCUCCAUGGCACUUGAUCAACUAGUCUUAGACUAAAAUCCAUUGACCUAAAUGGCUUUUGGAUACAUGAAGUGGCCUUUGACCUAAUUCAGGAAGUGAAAUGCGAUAAAGCUUGCAUUUGCUGUGGCUCUGGAGUUGGACAUGCCCACCGGAGUUGUCCAAUGGUUCCACAGUUUCUGUAUUGAACUGAGUUGGCCUACUAUAGAGUUGAACUCCAGACAUGUUGUUCUCUGACCACGUUAAGAACUGUACUGUCUACGUCGCCUGGCCACUGUCCUCCCUCUUGCCUUUCUCAUGUAUCAAGUUCUGUGCAUAAAUGUAUAUAUUUUAAGUCACUCUCUGUUUGUUUAGUGUUUUAUUUCCUUUAUUUUAUAUAGGAAACAUCACAGUGUAAGUCAUGUGAUGUAGUAAAGGUAUAUUAGUAUUCUCCUAUAAUCCUGUACUGAAAAUUGUCCCUAUCAGAAAGAUUAGUGUCAUAAUCACCUUUUGAUUCUCCACGCCUCAUUCUCAGAACGUUUUAGAGAAGAAGGCCAGAGAGGGAUGUUGGGCCUUCUCUUCCAAUACGUUUGAGAAGGUGAGGAAUCACAGAAAGACUCAUUCAAAUAAAGCCAUUGUUUUCAUCCAAUAUGGCAUCCUCCCUAUAAAAGGGCUCCCACAUUGUCCAAGCAUCAAAGUCAACAGUGUCA
rnacentral:lncRNA from 13 species